rnacentral:rRNA from 1 species
GACGAACCGUGCGAACGUUAUUCGGAAUCACUGGGCUUAAAGGGCGCGUAGGCGGGCCGCCAGGUCCGGGGUGAAAGCCUCCAGCUCAACUGGAGAAGUGCCUUGGAUACCGGCGGCCUCGAGGGAGGCAGGGGCGUGCGGAACUUCGGGUGGAGCGGUGAAAUGCGUAGAUAUCCGAAGGAACACCGGUGGCGAAAGCGGCGCGCUGGACCUCUUCUGACGCUGAGGCGCGAAGGCCAGGGGAGCAAACGGG